UUCGCAAUGCCCGAAAGGGUGACGAAGCGACGCCGCGUGUGGGAAGAAGGCCUUCGGGUUGUAAACCACUGUCGGGAGUUAAGAAAUGCAAGGAUAUUAAUAGUGUCUUUGUUUGACUAAGGCUCCGGAGGAAGCCACGGCUAACUCUGUGCCAGCAGCCGCGGUAAUACAGAGGCGGCAAGCGUUGUUCGGAAUUAUUGGGCGUAAAGAGCACGUAGGCGGCUAUGUAAGUCGGUUGUGAAAGCCUUCCGCUCAACGGAAGAACAGCAUCCGAUACUACAUGGCUUGAGUGCGGAAGGGGAGAGUGGAACUUCUGGUGGAGCGGUGAAAUGCGUAGAUAUCAGAAGGAACGCCGGCGGCGAAAGCGGCUCUCUGGCCCAUAACUGACGCUGAGUGUGCGAAAGCUAGGGGAACAAACGGGAUUAGAUACCCCGGUAGUCCUAGCCGUAAACGAUGGGCACUAAGUAGAGGGGUUUU
rnacentral:rRNA from 1 species